rnacentral:tRNA from 1 species
GCAUUGGUGGUUCAGUGGUAGAAUUCCAGCCUUCCUUGCAGGAGAUCAGAGUUUGAUUCCCAGCCAGUACA